CAGCAGCCGCGGUAAUACAGAGGAUGCAAGCGUUAUCCGGAAUGAUUGGGCGUAAAGGGAGCGCAGGCGGACAUAUAAGUCCAUCUUAAAAGUGCGGGGCUCAACCCCGUGAGGGGAUGGAAACUGUAUGCCUUGAGUGCAGGAGAGGAAAGCGGAAUUCCCAGUGUAGCGGUGAAAUGCGUAGAUAUUGGGAGGAGCACCAGUGGCGAAGGCGGCUUUCUGGACUGCAACUGACGCUGAGGCUCGAAAGCCAGGGGAGCGAACGGGAUUAGAUACCCCUGUAGUCCAUGUCUCUUAUACA
rnacentral:rRNA from 1 species